rnacentral:tRNA from 1 species
CUUAAAACACUUAGGUCGUGACCCUAAAAACUAGAGGCACCCCUCUUCCGAGCU